CUCUACGGCCAUACCACCUUGAACGCGCUCCGUCUCUUCUGAUCUUGGAAGCUGAGUAGGGUCAGGCCUGGUUAGUACUUGGAUGGAAGAAAUGCAGGCUCCAGGGU
ensembl:rRNA 5S_rRNA 5S ribosomal RNA